rnacentral:tRNA from 1 species
GCGCCGUUAGCUCAGCUGGAUAGAGUACCUGGCUACGAACCAGUAGGUCGGGGGUUCGAAUCCCUCACGGCGUGCCA